rnacentral:rRNA from 1 species
UACGUAGGGGGCAAGCGUUGUCCGGAUUUAUUGGGCGUAAAGAGCGUGUAGGCGGCCAUACAGGUCCGUUGUGAAAACUGGAGGCUUAACCUCCAGACGUCGAUGGAAACCGUAUGGCUAGAGUCCGGAAGAGGAGAGUGGAAUUCCUGGUGUAGCGGUGAAAUGCGCAGAUAUCAGGAAGAACACCGGUGGCGAAGGCGGCGACCUGGGUCGAGACUGACGCUGAGGCGCGAAAGCGUGGGGAGCGAACAGG